CUGUGAUCCAGGGUGAGACCUUCAUCUUGAAGGCCACAGUCUUCAACUACCUACAGCAAUGUAUGAAGAUCCAAAUGACUAUGGAGGAGUUCCCACAUUUCCAGCUGAAGUCAUGUGAGGGUUGUGUCUACAGCAGCUGCUUAUGUGCUGGAGAAGUAAAGGCGUUUCUUUGGAGUGUCACAGCUAAGCGACUUGGGUUCAUGAACAUCACUCUCAGCACAGAGGCCAUUGCCACCGAAGAGCUCUGUGGUAAAGAGAUACCGUUUGUCCCAAACCAAGGACAGAAAGAUACAAUCACCAAACUCC